GUUUGAAGGCUGUAACGAUCACAGCACGAGAAGGGUCUGCCGCAUCAAGGAUCAAAGGGGGAAAAAAGGAGGAGAUGAGGGGGGAACCAUAAAGAAAACAACCCACGAUGCCUUUCUAAUUAUGAUCACAUGGAAGACAGACCCAGUGCUAAUGGCUCUUCCUGAAUGCCAGCCUACACUUUUCUCAUUCAUACACCCAUCAUAUCAGCUGUCUCUCAGCUGAAGAGAUUUUCUCUUCCCGUUCCAUCUUUCACACCAGCAGCCCACCCUUCACCAGGCUCAAGUGAUGAAUAUCUACCUGAAACACAGUGGUUAUCAGCACUGUGAAGAGUGGCCCACAGCCAGGCACUGACCUCAACACAUGCAAGGAUUCACAGCAACACAGAAAGCAAUGCUCACAGACACAACGUGUGACUGAUACCUACCUCCUCCUUGCAGAAAAAGGCAAAGUCAUACUGGAUUCAAAGCAGUAACACAAGGCAAAGGUUUACUGGCAAGAAGAGACUGGUUAAAUGAAUUUCAUCAGGGUCUUGAGGAAGGGGUAAGGUGUGAUUAAUUAAUGAAAGCACACGCUGAAAUGGAUUAUUACGGUGAUCAGACAUUGCAGUCAUUUACUCUCGACAGCACUUUUUUUUAUGAGCCAUAUUUAUAUAUUCAGUAAUUAAAUAUAAACUGCAGGGUGUCACAAAACAAGGAAAGAAGACGUGAAGCCCAGACGGUCCCUGGCUUACAUUUCUCAUCACUGUACCUUCCACUUCACCUCUCAUUUUACACACUGCUUAAAGCAGUAAGAGAAGUUAAUUGCAGACUCCAUACUUGUGUGAAACUUCAAACCUACUCCAACUUAGUAGAAAACCAACCAAACAAAAACCACAACUAAAGGAAAACACAAACCAAAGGGGGGAAGAGGAAAAAAAAAAUGCUGAAAGGCAGACAGGAGAAGGGAGAUAUACAGACAUUUUGGACUGACGGAACCUGGGAAGUAAGGACAGAAUCACAAAAUGGUUGAGAGGUUGGAAGGGACAUCUGAAGGUCACCUGCCAACCCCCUGCAUGAACAGGGCCAUCCAGAGCGUAUCCAGGCAGCUUCUGACAUCUCAAAGGACAUUAAAACUCCACAAGCUCUCUGCACAGCCGGUGCUCCAUCAUCCACAGAGUAAAGAAGUGCUUCCUGAAGUUCAGACAGAGUCUUCUGUGUUCCAGUUUGUGCCUUCUGCCUCUUAUCCUAACGCUGAGCGCCACUGAAGAUAGCACAGCUCUCUUCUUUGCAUUCUCCCUUCAGGUAUUUAUAUACAUGUAGAUGAAAUCCCCCCCCCCCAAACGUCCUCUUCUCCAGGAUGAACAGUCCUAAAGACAAAGCAAACAUC